ensembl:lncRNA
CCCAGAUAGCAAGGAGACAUUGAACAGAUGUUGAUUUUCCAUCUGAACCAUCAGAAUCGUCAGGAUUGAAAUGUCAACACAAAACCAAUGUUGAAACAACAUUGAAAUACUGAUGAAACCUGACACUGACAUUGAAAUAACAUUGAUUCACUGUUGUUCUGUCAUCGUUGAUUGUUGAUCUAUGUAUAGUUGACAAGGUGACAACAAUCACGUUGAAAAACCAUCGAUUUAUGGUUGAGCGGGAAAUUAAAGCUGCUACCACUUGGACUAUUCCACAGCACCCCUAUCACAUUGGUACAUCCCUCCAGGUAACCAUUGUCUUGUACAGUAGAGCGGGACAUUAGAUUUACUCUCAGCGGAAUUGACCGGAGAAGGUACAAGUUCAUGCACUGCACUGGCCUGCACCACGAUUAGUAUAAGACAGGGCAAAAAAGGACUCCAAAUUAAAAAAAAGAUAAAAAUGAAAGACUGGUGCAUUGUUCAGCACUGGUGGUACAGAAAUAGUCCCUAGUUCAUGGAUAAAUGGGGAGAAAUUGUCAUGGCCUCCAUAUCCUCUGUGAGACACAUUCAGGAUCCACGAUGCAGUAAAGAGGAGAGUUCAUCCUGGUUCAACAUGGCUCACCUAUGCACCAGUCCGACUUCUAAUAAGCCAUGACACAUUUCACAAAGCAGAACGCAGUCUUCAGAAAUAUCUAAGUGAACACUGUGAUACGUCUGACCUUCAGUCCGAAGCUGAAACUCAGACCAGUCAUAAAAGAAAGCACAAACCAAAUCCCCUGUACACAUAUAGUGACUCAGAGGAUGAGCAGCCCACAAAGAAAUGGUUUCCCCAGGCCCCUCGAGUGAAAAUACCAGACCUGACGAGAGCUGUUAACGAACUCCGUGAGGAGGUCAGAGCCAUCCGCAAUACCGGCUGCAAUGAAUCGGUAGAUGCUGGGGUACUGCCUCUGGAUUUGCCCUUGCACAACAUUGAGGAGCUAAACAAUGCAGAGCCAGCUCUUCAAUCACAAGAGGCAAAUAAGGCAAUGGUGAGACGCUUUGCCUUGAUUGGAAGGACCACACUGGAGGUGCGAGUCCGCCGUGUAAUGGCUUAUGCCAUUAUAAGCGAGCUGGCCUCGGUACUAAACUGGGCAGGGAAAAAAACCAAGGACCAGACAAAGCAAAAAAUGGCAUUUAAAGAUACAGCGCUCUGCAAAUGCAUAUUUGAUGGCCUGACGCAGCAGUUAGGGGCAAACUCUAUGUCCGAGUUUGUCUUUGCGCAAGCAGUGCAGAAAUGGCUCCGAUACGCCCCAGAUCGUUUGGGUGGUGCAGGACGCACAUCAUGCAUCCCCAUCCCAGAGUAAAAAAUUACAAACUUCUGUGAAACAUAUAAAUGUAAAUAGGAAACUGUCUUUUAAUAAAGUAUUUAGCAAACGAAACAUGACUAUUGACCUUUUUUUUUUUUUUCUCUGUUACAUCACAUGCAAUGCUUUCUUAUUUUAGGAUAUUAAUAUUGACAUGAUACAUUGUGAGACAUUUGGGGUUUUUUUUUUAUAAAGGGUGUCCAAUUUAAGGAAUAAGUACAAUUAUGUGUUUAGGUGGUUUAAGUAUUGAUGGAAACAUGCAGUAGUUUAGUAUUGGUUAAAAUACCUAUAAAGAAAGGUAGAUUUCCAGUCAUGAUUUAACUGUUGUUUUAAUAAAAAGCAACUGUGCGAAAGAGGUGGAAAAUCAACACCAUAGCUCAACAGUGUUUCAAUAUCAGAAUCUGACAUUGUUUCAAUGUCAACAGUAUUAGAAAAUACAACGUUGAAUCAAUGUCAGGUUUCAACAUUGAUUCAACAUCAAAACCUGACGUUGUUUCAACGUUAAAAAAGGGUGCAAGAGUGACGUUAGGUCAACGUCACACUUCAACGUUGAUUCAAUGACACAGCCUGAUAUUGACUCAACAGUGUUUCAAUGUUUCCUUGCUAUCUGGGUCAGGACUUACAACACAGAGUGAAAGAGUAUUUUUGCAAGUUGUCUUAGAGGUUAGCCAACUCUGUUCAUGUAGCUCACCAGGCAAUAAUGCUGAGUACAUACCUGGAGAAAAGUGCAUCCCAUGUUCCAUCUUUGAAGUCCCAGUGAUUAAAGCAGGAAAGCUGGAAAAAGUAUCUCUGAUGAAAGGGCUCCAAACCAAGCAGGAUAGUGCUGUGUAUCCUAAGGCUGAUUUAAGAGCAAUUCUGGGCUUUUAAGGAGGUUUGUGGGUGUGGGCAGGAUUGUGGGGGGUUGAGCUUCUUCCUUUGUGAGUCGCUUUACCCUACCAAGUUUCAACCAACUGGCAUCAUUUACAUUUCUUUAAAAUGCUGUUUCUGAGGUCUGAAAACAGAAAGUACAGUUAGAAAGCAGCCGUACAAAUGAGCUUUACCAAAUCCUUCCACCUCACACUUUAUAAAAUCUCAAAAAUGUAAUGCCUAAAAUUACUGUUUUACUUUCAAUUUAACCUCUUACCCAUUACUUUAGUGUCCGUUUUAACUGCUCUUAAAUUAACAAAAAAAAAAAAAAAUUCAACACCAAAUUCAGUUCGGUGGGUCGUUCAAUGGGUCGUUCAAUGGGUCGUUCAAUGCGUUGUUCAAUGGGUCGUUCAGUGCGUUGUUCAGUAGGUUGUUCAGUGGGUCUUUCAUUUGGUUGUUCUUUGGGUUGUUCAGUCAGUGGGUGAGUGAAAGCAAGAUUAAGUGGAAAGUGUCUAUGUGAGUGGAAAGUUCCACUCACAUAGAUCAUUUUUCAAAUGCAUCCUCACACUAAUUUGAUCUCCAGGCGUUCAGUUGCACCUUUGUGUAAACCCCCAAAGCAGCUUUUUAAGGUCAAAACAAGUUUUUCAAACUCUGACAAACCAUUAAAAAAGUCUGACACUGAAUAUCACGAUGACCACUGACCACUCGUUUUGUCUUCAUUAACUUUAUUAAAUGAAACAG